ACCGGCGUAAGGGGUAGUUAUGCAUGGGCAACCAACCCUCUGGAUGGGGAUAACCCCGGGAAACCGGGGCUAAUACCCAGCGAAGUUGAGUGGGGGCAUCUUCAUUCAAUCAAAGGUGUGAUUCCGCCAGAGGACGGGCUCAUGUGGUAUUAGCUAGUUGGUAGGGUAAUGGCCUACCAAGGCUACGAUGCCUAGGGGGUGUUGGCGCACGACCCCCACCACUGGGACUGAGACACUGCCCAGACACCUACGGGUGGCUGCAGUCGAGAAUCUUCGGCAAUGGGCGCAAGCCUGACCGAGCGACGCCGCGUGGAGGAUGAAGGCCUUCGGGUUGUAAACUCCUGUCAGAGGGGAGGAAAGUGAGGUGGGCUCUCCCAUCUCAUUGACCUAGCCUCAGAGGAAGGACGGGCUAAAUUCGUGCCAGCAGCCGCGGUAAUACGAAUCGUCCUAACGUUGUUCGGAUUCACUGGGUUUAAAGGGCGCGUAGGCGGUGCGUUAAGUCGGCGGUGAAAUACUUCGGCUCAACCGGAGAAUUGCCGCUGAAACUGGCGUGCUCGAGGAAGGUAGAGGUGUGUGGAACUUCCGGUGGAGCGGUGAAAUGCGUUGAUAUCGGAAGGAACACCUGUGGCGAAAGCGAUGCACUGGACCUUUUCUGACGCUGAGUGCGCGAAAGCUAGGGUAGCGAACGGGAUUAGAUACC
rnacentral:rRNA from 1 species